GACUCUCGGCAACGGAUAUCUCGGCUCUCGCAUCGAUGAAGAACGUAGCGAAAUGCGAUACCUGGUGUGAAUUGCAGAAUCCCCCGAACCAUCGAGUCUUUGAACACAAGUUGCGCCCGAGGCCACUCGGCCGAGGGCAUAAUUGUAACGGCGGGG
rnacentral:rRNA from 2 species